rnacentral:rRNA from 1 species
UACGGAGGGUGCGAGCGUUGUCCGGAAUCAUUGGGCGUAAAGGGCGCGUAGGUGGCCCGGUCAGUUCGUGGUGAAAGCGCGGGGCUCAACCCUGCGUCGGCCAUGAAUACUGCCGCGGCUGGAGCACUGUAGAGGCAGGCGGAAUUCCGGGUGUAGCGGUGGAAUGCGUAGAGAUCCGGAAGAACACCGGUGGCGAAGGCGGCCUGCUGGGCAGUUGCUGGACACUGAGGCGCGACAGCGUGGGAGCAACAGGG